rnacentral:lncRNA from 1 species
AGCGCUUUGCACUGGCAUUUGGGGCUUCUCAGCUCGCUCAUUUCUGUGCAGCACUUCUGCAUGUGUCCUUCUUCUUCUUCGUCUUCGUCUUUUCCUUCGUUCCUCCUUAUGUAGUUGAUUCUUCCCCGCAUGGUCCUGAGAAUGUGAUUGUCGUCGUCAUCAUCAUCAUCGUCAUCGCCGCGGCCUUGGAUCUUCUCCAUGAUGUGCUUCUCGCAGGGCGUGAGGUUCACCCCCUGGAGCUGCUUGCGGCAGCUAUCUUGCUGGUGCUGCCAUUUGGAGGCGCUGCAAGUGUGGGCGAUGCAGAAGAGAAGAGAGAUGAGGAGGAUUGUGAACUUGGUCAUUUUGCUAUUGAUGGGUGAAGUGAAGUGAAGUGAAGGUGGGGGCAUUUAUUGAAGUUUUAGGGUGUUGUAGUUGCAUGGAAUAUGGUACGUGGAAGUGAAGUGGGGUGGUUUUGGUGCGGUGGCUGCAUUUGCUUCAAUGCUUGUUAAUUUACGUGCUUCCACGUAACAUUUCCAUGCAUUUGGUUUAUAAACUGAUUACUAUCAAACAUUAUAUAUCAUUAGUAUAACCCACUUGGCUUCACGUAAUCAUAUAAGAUCUAGUAUAAAAAAAUUAUUUAUUUUAAAAAGAAUUAUGUGUAAAAUUUUCUUAUUCAACGGUAAAUAUAUGCGGUGAGUGGAAUUAAUACUCAAUAAAUUAGGAAACACUGAUUUCUAACAAAAGGGAAAAAUAUUCAUUAGCAUAGAGAAUAAUAAGACAAGUUGUGUAAUUGUUUUUUUUCCUACUCUAGUAUAAUAAGACUAAUAGGAUUGCGGGCCAAUUAAUGUGAAAUUUUUUUGCUUAUAGGUUUGGAAAUUACCUUGAUGAGGUUUAAUUUGUCAAUGGAGCAAAAAAUUGUCUUUUUUUGGUACAUCACGUUGAAUAUUAUUAAUUAAUCUAAAUUAACCGAGCAGAUAUUGAUCACUUCGCAGUUUGCACCAUAUCUUUAGGGGAUUGAAAUCGCCAGUGUGACAAGGCAGCACCAGAUACAACAGAUCAAUUUGAGUAGAAUCAUACUUUCUGUAACAAAUAAUGAAAGUGGUUAAAGCACAUUUUUUGUAUUUUUUACUUUUUUUUGUUCUUUCAUUUUAGUUUUUUAAAAUAAAGUAAAUAUAAGUUCUGUUCUUUUGUAAUUAUUUCCUUCAAAAUUUAUUAUUUGCACCGCAUCUAUUUGUAAUUAUCGCCUACUUGUCAAACUAGGGUGCACUUAGUAAAUAUCUGGUGCAAAUAACAAAUGCCUUUAUUUUUUGGGCACAGACAGAAACGACAUCGUUAAGCCGUGAAGCGAAAGGAACGAAACGGCGUCGUUUAAUCUGGAGCCCCAAACGCAGUUGAGAAACCAAUUUCGCGAGAAACCAGAGAGAAGAAAGAAGGAAAACAGAGAGAGCGCAAUGGAGGAGCUAUUCGUAGCAGUUCUAUCGAUGCUUCUUGUGGCAGCGUUGAUCCCACUCUACCUAUGGAAACGCCGUCAAGAUUCUCAACCUCCCCCUCCCCACCGCGACGAAGCUCCUCAGGUUUGCACCUUCUUCCAACUCCUUCACUCUUCUCCCUUCAUUUCGCCCCCAAAACCCUGAUCACUUCUAUUUUCGAGUCCAUGUCGGAUUGUUUGAUCAUCGAUGACCAAUUGUCAGGCUCCGCGGAGAGAAACCGUGGCGCGCGCCGCCGCCACUCGUCGCAUGCGUCGCCGACCUGCCGCCUCUGGAGCUAGCACUUCGGCAGAUCCACCUGCGACGCAAGAAGGUUUCUCGCACAACUCGUUCACUUUAAUUUAUUUUUUUUAAUUUGAUUUGUUUUGUUUCGGUGUGUGCGAUGAUGCUUUGGUGAAUGAAAAUGUUAAUCAGAGAUGUAACUGGAACUAAUAUGAGUUGUUUUCCACUAGGAAGGUUUGAUAGAUGUGAAAUCAUGAAUAUUUGGUGAUCUUUGUGUGUUUAGGCUCUGUUUGGUUAAAUUUCUCAAUAAGCAUCUAUAGGAGAACUGGAGAAGGUAAAAGAAAGACUCUGUUUGGAUAAACUUCUCUAUAAGCACUCCUACAAAAGUAAUUUUAGAAGGAAAAAACGAAUUACUUUUCUCUCAUAAGCUAAUUUUAGCUUAUCGAGAAUCUUACUUUUGUAGAAGUUUAUCCAAACAGAACCUUAUGCUUCUUUCAAAAUUUAAAAUUAGGCUAUGCACCAUAAGCUAAUUUAAAAGUUAAAAUUAGGCUAUGCACCAUAAGCUAAUUUAUAGAAGUUCUUUAUUUAACUUUUCUAAAAGCUGAUUUUGACUUAUGCAUAAGCUAGUUUUAAUUUAUUCGGAAACUUUAAUAAUUUAAUUCAUUUUAUCUUUUUAUUUCUUCUUGUAUAAGUGUUUAUGGAGAAGUUCAUUUAAACAUGGCCUUAGUUUCUUUUCUUUUUGCUUUCUCACUAGAUACGUCAAUGUUACCAUGUUAUCGAGUGUUUAGAUUAGAAUGACAUUUAGGGAUAUUUGCACAUGUGGAGUCGACUAUUUGGCUUAUUGUUUUUGCUAUAUGGAAUUAUGGUUGGACUUGUUGGUGAAUGGAAAUAUGAUAUGUACACUGCUGUGUUGGAAGCAUGCGUACAGAUCGUAUCUUGAAACUUAGUUGCCUUUUUGAAGUGAUAAGCCGUAUGCAUCUAAACAGGAUCUGGUGGUGAGAGUGAUGAUGAAGCUGCCGGCGGAGGGUAUUAUGAGGCUAAAGCAUCAAAGAAAAAGGAGAUUAAAAGGCAAGAGAGGGAAGAAAGGCGUCAGGUAUUCUCUCUCUUUAUAUGUCAACUAGCAUGGUCAAUGGUGGUGUCCAUGCAUCAUUUUCCUUCUUUAUACUUGAGUACAUUUUUGGCGGGAUUCUUGCUAUUUGCAGCUUGUAGCCUUCUAUACUAAUUUACCAAAGAACCAUGCUGUUUGAAAUUUGACUUAUCAAAAAGGAUGGUUUCUUGAAAUGAAAGACGUUAUGUGUAUUUGAAGGUUUAGUAAAGGACACUAGUUCAAUCUAUAUUAUUAUUAAAACCAUCCAGUUGCUCCACACGUUUCACUCUCUCUUCUGAGUAAGUUUCCUGCUUGAAUGAGAUUUCUGUAAUUUUGUUAAAAAACAUGGUCAUUUUGUUUUGACCUCCGUUAUUGCUUUUCCGUGCAGUGUGCAUGAUUACUGUCCCUAGUUUGUAUUUAAUUCUCAGACUAAUACUUAAACUGUUGAGUAUUGGAUACAAGAACUUUGGAGAAUACUGUAUAAUAGAACUUGAAUUCUGAUAUUGCUGUGGAGUGUGUUAUUCAAGACAACACCCCUUCCCCACCCAUUCAGGGUGUUGUUAUGUAUUUCUUGAAUUUCUGUGCUUAAUGUUUUGCUUUUUGGGGGGUUUCUCUAUGUUGAUUAAAGUUUAAAUAGUUGUAUUUUGGUCUAUCUCUUUGGAAGGCUGAGGAAGUUGCACGAGAGUCAAGGCUUGCAAAACAAGAUCGUUAUUCAGAAAUGCGGAGGUUGAAGGAUGAGGAGCGUGAGGCACAGGAGCGUAAGUUGGUGAGCUUGUUACCUUGUUCCGAUUUGAUUUUAUGAUUAACAUUCAUGUGGUAUAUUAACUGGUAAGGCACUUGCUUUUAAUUCAUAUAGGAAGAGGAAGCCAGAGCUCAGAAGGCUAAGGAGGAGGAGGCUGCUGCAUUAGAGUUUGAGAAGUGGAAAGGUGAAUUUUCAGUUGAUGAUGAGGGUACCCUUGAAGAAGUGCAGGGUAGUACUGAAGACUUGCUAGGCAAUUUUGUUGAAUAUAUAAAGGUUAUUCUCUGUUUUUUAAUUUGUACAUUCUUAAUUUCCUUGAUUUCCCUUUGCUAAAUUUGCCAAAAUUUAUGCAUUUCUGUGAGGCAUAAAAAAUUAAUAGCAAUUAACUAGGGUUAUCACUGUCAACUUUAAAGAGGUUUUAUAGCCAUUCUAAUUUAGACUUAAUUUUGUGUAAUCAUUCAGAAGCACAAAUGUGUUCCCUUAGAAGAUCUUGCUGCAGAAUUUAAAUUGCGUACACAGGUAUUCUUUCCUAUUUUAUUCCUUUAUUUGAAUCAGCCUAUAUAUUUCUUCCAUCACCAUUUCAUUUUCCUUAUAUUGGUUGUUGCUACAAGUUUUAUGAGAGAAGCAGUUUAACUAAUAUUAUGCUUUGCUGGUAUGUUUUAUGGUCUAUGUGCAACAUGUAUUGUAUCUAUUUGAUUUUUCUAAACAUAUAUUUGGUGUAGGAUUUUGUAGAGUUGAAAGAAAACAAGAUUUUUAAGAUAGAAACAAAUAGGGAAAACAAAGAUUUGAUGAGAGAAAAUGUAGUAUUCCACCCAUUACUUAGGUUGGUUCUAUACACAAGCUGUUCUCAUGUCCCUGUUUCUACUAAUACAUGUGACUUAUACUAUACUACUAUAUAAAUCACCCACCACCAACAACAAUAUAAUUUCUGUUUCCAAAAGAAUAGUAGGAUGAAAGUAUAGUUUAGAAAGAUGACUAAGCCUUACCCUGAGGUUACUGAUUUUUAUUUUUUAUUUUCAAUGUUUUUUAUAUUUUGUAUUGUAAGGAAGCUAGUGAAAAUCAGUGGUUAAAGAUAGAUGAUGCCAAUCCAAUCUCAUAUAUAGAAAAAUAUGAGAGUUCUGGAGUGGAGAGAUGGAGGAAGGGAAAAUGGAGAUGCGAGGCAGGGGCCUCACAGGGAGCAACCUCUCUCCAUACAUAAUACAGAGGCCUAAGCCCCAACAGAGUUUUUCUCUCUCAAAAACAUUAAUACCAAUUAUUCACUGAAUGCCAAAACUUCUGUGCCUAUAUAUAUAACCACAUGAUAACUGUCGCACGAGUCCUGAAUUACCUAAAUAACUGCCUAAAGACACAAAUGCUAGUAUGCUACACAACUUCCUAAAUUACCGUCUAAAGGCACAUCACAUAAACGGACCUUGCUAUUUAUAUUAAAUACUGCAACUGCACAAUAAUUUGAACCAUUUAAUUUGGUUGCACUACAAGUACAAUAGUCUAAUUCUAUUCCUUUUCAAGUACUUUUUAUUGCACACCACUCCCCUCUAAAUGAAGAUACAAAAAUUAAUUCCUGUUCCCUCUUUCGGGAGAAGAGAUAUAUAUAGGUGUUUUAUGUUGAAUUAUAGUUCCAUUUUGGUACUUUAGCUUGUAUUUUACUUUCUUUAUAAUUUUAUGGGUGUUAACCCAAGUAAUGAUAUCCCUUUGAAUGUUUCUAAGUAGCGAAGCCCUAUUUUAUAGUUUGUUUGAGAUUCUAUCAAUUUAUUUAUGGAUGAAACAAAUUGUUAUAGUGUGUACUGCCCGAGUGAUAUCUUUUCCCUCCAUGGGCUUCCCUUUUUUUUGUACUGAUGCAGGAAUGUAUCAAUCGCAUCACAUCUCUGGAAAGUAUGGGUAAGAACCUUUCUUUAUCCUUUCUUUUUAAAUUGUUUUCCAAGGUGGAUGGAUAUAAUGAGUUUAUUUUGUGUAUCAGGUCGGCUUUCGGGUGUUAUGGAUGAUAGAGGGAAAUUUAUUUACAUCUCCCAAGAAGAGAUGAAAGCCGUUGCUGAUUAUAUUAAGCGGCAAGGGAGGGUUAGCAUUUCCCACUUAGCAAGUAAAUCGAACCAGUUCAUUGAUUUGGAGCCUAAAGCCCAGUACUCUGAGGACAUUAACAUUGCGGAGGAGAUAACUGUUAACUGACAUUUUUUUUGACUUGUGGGUGGCAGGAAAAUCGUGUUGUACAUAAAAAAAAAACAAUUAUCUGUGGUUUGCCUAGGGUUUGUUUGGUACAUGACUUUGAACACAGCUUUAGUGUAACAAAUUUCAGAUUUUUCCUGUGGAAAGUACACAGUAUAGAACGAGAACGUAUUUCAAGAGGCAGAUCUACGUGUCUGAAUAUGAAAUUAGUCCUCAACACUAUUUUUUGGAAAUUGUUUUCCAUUUUGUUGGCCAUUGUAACAAGUUUAGCAUUACAUGCAGAUGCAAGACAUCAGGGUAUGCCCUUUUUUUUUUUUUAAAAACUUUGACAAAAUUUGAAACUUGAGAUAUUUGGAAGUUAGAAAAAGUUAAACAAGAGUAAUUCUAACCGUUCUUUUAAUUGUCGAGCCUCACCUAUUUAUCGCUAGACGUAGCCAGUAUAUAAAUGAGGUUAGUAUACAAGAUGUUAAAACUUUUUCUAUUUUUUGACAUCUGAAAUAUUUGGUUUGAGACUUCUCUAGAUGAUUGGUGGACACUUUUCUACAUUUCCAAUACUUAAUUAAUACCUACUUAUUUUCUAUUUCUCUUUUUAUACAUUAAGCCAUAUCACUUAUUAUACUUAAACUUCUCUUUUUCUUAAUUUUGUCAAAUAGUUUCUUUGGUGUCUGUCAACCAAUUUUUUUUCAUAUCAUAUUAUUAAUUUUGUCAAUUACUACUGUGUUCCUAUUUCUUUUUGGGUGUUUUUGUAAACAUACUUUUUAACAAAUUCUUUAGAACAUUAUUUGUUAAAUUUAUUAAAAUUUACACAUUUUUGUGAGUUUCACCUGUUUAACGAAUUUCUCUCAAUUUUAAUCAACAUUAGAGUUUGAGAUUGUUUUCCUUACUCAAUUUAUUCCGUUUUAUAUUAUUCUGCGUUGUUUUCUUCCCAAUUUGAUAAUCUUCUAGUUUAUUCAAACCAAAGAAAUAAUAAACCAAGAGAAGCAAUAUUGAAAAUGAAGCUCUUAGGAGCUACAUUAGUCCCGACACCUCCCCCCCCCCCCCCCCAAAAUCCCAAAUUAAAUUAAAAUCCCAUGACAGUUAGAAAAUGAACCUAUUAAUUAAUCAGAAGGUAGAACUUUGCUUGAGAAACGUAUCUACAUGACCUAACAAUCCAUACACUAGAGUAACGUUGUUCAGACAAGGCAAUCUAAUCGUAAUAUGAGCUAGUUACGUACUGAACUUAUAAUAAGUUCCACACACAAUCUUGUAUCGAUCAGAUAUACACUGUUAUGCACUUUUACACAAAAAGGCUGCAUCCCUCAUCACAUGCAUCUUUAUCUCUCUGCUCAGUUUGUAUAAGCACCCCGUCGUUGAUGAGACUGAUAUAUAUAAAAAAGCAGCCCCGAAGAGAAGAAAAAUAAACCCUUUCAAGCCAGUAACUCUCUCUCUUGUGUCAAGGUAGGUUAAUCAUUUAGAUCAUCAAGAAAGUCACAAAAGCUGUGAAAACGAGUGCAAUGACACUGAUGGAAGAUGAUUUGCGCCCUGAACUUUUGGCAGGUCUAAUUGGAGGAAGUGAACACUCCAUUCCAUUGAAGAAAACCUUAGUGGGGAACCCAUCAUGUGUGACAUCGAAGUCUUUUAUAUGCUUCUUGCUGAAAGAAAUAACAGAUUGUUGUUUCCCUGGAACCCUGGGGUCAUUAGCGUGUGUUCCAUUGGUUUCUCCAGCCAAGUAAUUCAAACCCUUUAACCCUUCAAAGAACACAGUUUUGAGACCAGGAAUCCUCGUCCCAUUGAAGGAAUACACAUCUUCAAAAUCCUCGAAAGUUCUCCUCAACUGAACUGCAGUGAACCAAUCGUCAAAGGAAUAGUCCUCCCAGUUGAAAAGUGUGAUCCUAGCUGUCCAUCCAUCCCUGUGAUCAGAACUCACGUGCCAGUUUAUGCUGACGGGGCAAUUGUCCCCACAAGGGAGCUUGCUCGGUACGUGCAAGUGCUUGAGCCUGGCCCAUGCACGUGCCUUAACGGACCUGUUAGCAAACGGCACAAGAAGAACAUCUGGUGGAAGAAGCAUCGGAGAAGCCCUAGAGCUGCACUUCCUCGUGUCAUCACACCCACAUGCACACGUGUUGCAAGGGAUGGCUGAUUCGUUGUAGAAUGCUGAGAAAGAGACACAACAACGGUUUUCUUGAGGCUUAGGUUUUGUGAUGUUGCAAACUAUUUGCCAACUUGCAACCGCUGUGCUAAUAGCACUAAGCCCACUAGGGUCAGGGAAGACUUGUGGGUCAACCCUAACUGGGGCACUGCACUUGUAUUUAGGGUUAAUGACACCAUCAAUGUUCCACUUUGAAGGUGGAGUGAGAGCAGUUCUGUUAUCAGUGUCAGGUGCAAUUUUGAACACUUGCAUCUGGAACAUUGACCUAGCUUUGUUCUUGUCCAUGAUAGGAGGCAAAACAGUGCCAUUCCUACAACACCAAGGAAGUUUUCCAACUUUCUCAUCUUCUUUUCUCUCUGAUGGAAGAUCAGAGAUUGUUGGCUUCUUUUGACAGGUUGCGACGUUUGUGAAAUCCAUGUCUUUGUAGAAUUUUCCUGCGAGGCCGUACAAGCACUCAGAAGGGUCUCUUCUGCGAGCAAAGGCUCCUUUCAUGGAGUAUAUGAAUUCUCCCUUUUGCCAUUCCCAUGUUAGGUUCCAGUGAUCGAGACGACCUAAUGGGUGGUUGUUGUCUAUUGUGACUUGCGCGUAGUAGUUGUUCUGGAAGGCUUGGAGCACGUCGUAUGCUAUGGUUAUGUCUCCUUUGCGACGAGGUGGGUACUUUGUUUUCUUAGCUUGCUUGGCUUUUACUUUUGGGUCCUUUCUGCAGCAUACGAACAUUCUCGUGGCUGCACCAUUGAUUCACACAAAUGUCAAAAGCAAUUCAUAUAUGUAUCAUGUUAUGUGAUAAUUGUAAUUAAACAAGAUUUUACGCUCCAUGCUGUGUAAUAGUUAUAUCGAUCGUUUUCAAUUUCAAGAUAUAGAAAUUGUGUUGUUCCUGUCCUAGGCUAUUAUAAGACUCUUGCAAGUAUAUGAUUAUCAUGCAUAUAUGUACUAUUUGAAACGAGCUCAAUAAAUCAUGCACAAACGUCAAUUAUGUUUUUUUAUUUAUUUACAGUGCAUGUUUUAAGACGUAUACUCAUGCUAAUUUCUCAGUAUAUAUUUCCUUGCACCCUUAAAAAUUCGUAGGAAAAAUAAUUAGCAAGUAUUUUGCAUACAAUAAUAUAUUAAAUUAAUCAUUAAAAUCACAACUAUCCAUCAAUUUAAUCUUUAAAACUACAACAUCAAUCAUUUAAAAUUUUAUCGUUGUAAUUUUCUAAACUAAAAAAAUCGUCUUUAAUAAUUUUGAAAAUUAGAACAAUAACUUUGUAAUUUGAAACACUAAGUUAGCAUCUAAGAAUAUAUAUAUACACACACAGAAAGCACAAGUAAAAUGUUUAUCAUAAUUUCAGAAGCAUGUUAUUGCAUGAAAUAUCCAUAACGUGGGAGAAGAGAAAGAUAUAUAUGUAUUAUACCUCUUCGACUGGGUGCAGGGCAUUUGAAGCCAUCAUUCUCAAGAUGAAUAGUUUUAGGCAUUGGCGUAGCCCCAGCACCCAACCCAAACUGCGUCCCCUUCAUCUGAAUCCUCACACUCAUCUGGUCAAUAUCCCCGGCGGUAUCUAUGGCGGUCUUCAAGUCCGUCGCGGUGGACCCCAUCAUCGUGGUCCCGUUCCCCACCUCCGCCGGAAAGUCCCCGGCGUCGGUGAGCACGGCGCCGUCGGCGGAGACCAGAAUCUCGCGGUGCUGGAACCCCACGUACAUCUUCCACCCCUGCACCUCCUCGUCCCCGACGUUUGUCAGGGACGCCUCCGCCUUGAACGCCCACGCCUGCUUCGACGUGUUCUUCACGUGCGGGUACUCCUUCACGCGCCCAAGGAGCGCGUACGUGAGAAACACACCGUUGCAGGCGUCGAGCUCCGUCAUUAGAGGCGGUGGCGGCGACGACAAGGACGAAAAUUUUUCAAAGUCAUUUUGGCCGUAGCCAACAUGGCAGUUCAAGAAGAGAAACAAACAAGCUGUUAUUAUUUUUGUUGAGUACGAAGAAGUUACCUGCUUUAAUAAAGCAGUUUUCAUGUUGUGGUAUUUUCUUCUUCUAUAUGGCCAACCAGCUAUGCUUUUUUUGUUUUUUUUUUUUUUGUGUGUGUGUUGUACGAGGAAGAAGGUGGUUGCCGCGCGGGGACGACGCGGCGGAGGAGGAGAGGGAAAUGGAAAGAGAGAAGGAAAGUGAGGGAAUAUAAAUGGGAGGAGGGAAUGAAGAAUUGAAGAUGGGAGAAGGGAGUUAUGUUCCGUUAGUUUUAGCGGUUGUUUCGGGGGACAGGUAAUGUUUGGAAGCUAUAAUUGGAAAGGAAACAGAAGCCUUUGUUAAAUUAAUUGAGGAACAACAAUACUCCUUGGGCUACCAUUAAAAAAUAUAUAUAUACUACUCCUUGGGAAUUACUAGGUACACUAAUAAAUUUUGUUGACAAAAACGGCAUUGGGAGCACGUGGUGGUCUUGUUGAUUUCAUUAAGUCCAAAUCAUUUUGUUUAUAAUUUAAGUUAGAUUUCAUGCAUGCAAUCAUACAUUACUAUCUCUGAAUCUGUGAAUAAUAAUAAUACAAUCUAUCAAAUUCAUAGGAAUGCUAAGACUAUUUGGAGGGCUAGUAAUUUCUUGGUAAUUACAAAAUUAAGCUAAAGCUAAUUAUUAAAUAAAAAGUAUAAUUCAAAAAUUGUGAUUUUUAAUAAAUUUCAGUUAAUAGAAAAUAGUGUAUUUUUUUUUGUCACCAAGAUACUAAUGCUAAAAUUUCUAAUCAGUACUUUUUUGUUGGUAACCAUUUGUCUUAAUUGUGAGAGAAUUAAAGAGUUUAGUGUUGUAUGUAUGAAAUUUGGUUUUCAUUUUUUCCCUUUCAUACCAUAUUACCCGUCACCUUUAAUUCUGUUUGUUGCAAUGUUUGGUUAUUAAUAUUGUACUCUUUAACUAUUAGGGGAAAAAAAUAAAAAAAAGAAACAUACACAAACAGUUUUCACAUCUUCAGAAUGGAGACGUCUGUUAUUGUCAACUUAAUUAUCGUUGUGUGAACUAACUUGCUAUUUAGUGUUAAAAUGAUUAACUACUCUCGAGAAAUAAGGUAACAUUAUAUAAUUAAUGCUUUGGGUAUAAAUACAAACUAAUUAUGCUAAAAUUAGUUAGUUAAUUAAUUAAUGCAUGUAAAAAACAAGUCAUAUACGUAUUAGGUUAAUUAAUGAUUAUAACACUCCUUAUAACAGUUAUAAAAGACUUACAAAUAUAUAAUAUAUAAUUAUCAUGCACGUAUAAUUCCUUCGAUUUGAAUAAAUUUAACAGUUCUAUCCAUUAUCAAAUAAAAAAUAUAGAUUACAUAUUAAAAAAAGAAAAAAAUUAAAUGACAUCACUUAAAACUUUGCUCAAUGACAUGUUAUAGACUAAGUCGUAUCAUACCGUUGGAUGAACUAACCUAGGUAUAUCACAUUCAAAAAUGAUUCUUGGACAUCUUUUAAGUAUUUAUACAUUGAGAGAGAUAGAAAGAAAUAAAUGAUUGAUUUAAUUGACAAUGUAAUAUAAUAGAAAAAAAUAGAGAAAAAUUAUAAGUCUUGAUGAAGUAUUUAAAAUUUGUUAGUGUUUAAAUAUUAUCACUCCAUAACAGUUAACUCUUCCAUCACAAGCAAUUUCACCAGAGCUGUUAAACAUUGAGUAUGAAUUGAAAUUUAUUAAAAGAAAGAAAUAAACAAAAAGUGGUUAAUCAAAUCAAGAAAUUGUAAACCAAAAAGAAAACCAUCCAAAGGAACGUACUAUUGGAUUGGAAUUAAAAUAAAAUCUCAAUUAUGAGGCAACUUGAUGACUAAUGAUAAAAAGAGACUCUCUAAAAGAUUUUUAUUUUUAUUUUUUAAAAAAGAACAAUCUAGAAUUUUAAGGUCAUCGACAGCUUUAUUUAUUUAUUAUGUUUUUUUUUAGUUUUUCCUUCUUUGUUGGACUAUGGAGUUUAUUUAAGUUAAUAACAGUCCUCUUUUGCUUAAAAGAAACCCCCUUUAAUUCAACAGGACUCGUUAAAGUGAAUGGUUUAUGACCGUUGUUUUGAUUUACUUAAUUAUUUCUUUUGCUAGAUUUUAAAUACAUUUUUAUUCAAUUGGCCAUUCAAUUGUCUCCAAUACGAUCACUUAACUAGUGGAAAUAAAUGAAUAUCAAAACAAAAUUAAUUUUAUUGGCUCGAAAUUGAAUGGUUGUUUCCUGUAUCUUGUUUCCUCUAUGCAAUAACGAAGUACAAAUAGAUGGGUAUACACAACAAUUCUAUUUUCAUAUUUCAUAAUAUACAAUCUUACUUCUUUUAUGGAUACAAAAGGGGAAAAAAAUGAUUUCACAUACAACAAUUGCUCAGGGAUUUUGAUGGUUGGAUAUUUGAAUUCCUUUUUUCAAUUCUUUAAAGUCCUAUGUUCUCCAUUAUUGUCUCCCAGGGAGCAACACAUCUACCAUACAACACAUUACAAAAGAAUCAUUGGGUAUUUCGAUGUAUUUGGUGCUAGGGUUUCUUGGCCUGCAGCAAUUACAAAAUUACUAUAAUAGUUAAGAGAUAAUUAAAUAAGAUUAUACAGGGAAAAGAAAAGAACUACGGGAACACACAUAUAUAUGACAUACCAAAAAAUAAACUAUGAUUAAGGAUCAAUACUUAGAAUUUGGAUUAAAGAUUUAUACAUCCAGUUCAAUGUAUUGGAGAUUAUAAUGAUGUCUCAGAAACUAAUUUAAUGCAUUUUAAGCAAAAAAAAAAAAAAAGACAAACUGUAUAGUGUUGAUGACAAUUGGUAUUCCAAUUUAGGAGUGACACUAGGCACUACAACAUGGUCAUAUUCAUCCACUGCAUCUUGAGGAAUUGAUUACUAUAGUCAGUUGCUACUUGCUAGCUAUCAUGUAGUUUGCUUUUCCUACUAAGAUAUGGAAAGUGAGGAAGAGUUGCAGAGAAUACCUUUUUCAAAUAUUUCUUGUGAAGUUUCAUAGCCCCACUGCAAGCUUUUUUUGCAUCUAUAUUACCAGUUGUGUCAUUCAAAAUCUGAGGAUAAUUACAUCAGAGGAGCAAAGAAGGAACUUAGUAGAUACAAGAAUAAAUACUUAGUGCAAAGAUUCCGUACACUGUCAUUCAAUCACAAACCAUCAUUAUAUAUUAUAUCGCAUCCAAGUGAUUGCUCCAUCUAAUUUAAUGCAACUUAGAUGUGAGAAGACUAACCUUGACAACAUCAUCCAAGCCCCGUGCUUCUUGGAGUAGUUUUGCACUUUUAUCUUUCAAUACACUAGCAACAAGGAAAAUAGACAUAGGAAGAGGUGCUUCUGCAUUUUUUGCUCCACUCUUCACAAUUUCUCUCUCAUACUUUCCACAUUGACGUAUUGACUUUGUUUUCCCUUUUGAGCCCUCAGCUUUUUCAGAAGCUGAUAGAGGCAUUUCAUACAUCAAGAACAAUUCAGGAUCAUAUUCUAGAGCCCACAUCAUCUGUUAAAAUUUAAAGUAAUUAGUAAUUGAUCAUCAUUUUACAAAGAUUCCCAAGAUAUCCACCCCCAAAGAGAAAUGAAAGGAAUCAUGAUUCCAUAAACUGUUUUCAUAGAAGGGGGAAAAAACAUUAACAGUGAAACAAUAAUGGGCUGUGAAAAAACAAAAAUUGGAAAUCAUAUCAUACUGUGGGCACAUCUGUUAUAUUAAGAAAGCAACUUAAUCUUCCUUUGUUCAAUAAAUGUAACAUUAUCACAGUUCACAAAGAACAAAGAACAAAAGAAGCCAAGCAUACCUCCCAAAGGUACAAUGAGUCACAAAAGGAGAAUUCUCGACGAAACAAAACCAUUAGCAUUCGAAAAGCAAACAGAUAGUCACCUCCACCAAGAUGUUCUGUGCUCCAAAAUUAAGAGACAGCACAUUAGCACUUUCUGUUUCACAAACAUUAACUGAGAACUGUGCAAUUAAAUUUUAUAGAAAAAAGAAGAGACUUAUUCAACAAAUUUGAAUGACAAUAUAACAGUGAUAAAAACAAAUCAUUUUCCAUUAACAUUUUCUUCCAAUCAUUAUUUCUUAAAACAGCAAUCACAUAAAAAACAUAAUUAAGUAAAAAAAUUAUAUCCAUAUUUGAUCAUAAAUAAAAUACCAAGGCAUACAUGCAAGAAAAAUACCUAAAUGUUUAUGAAGUUUUGGAUCAAUUACUUGAGUGACUGAAGCCAGAUUACUUAGUUGAGCCGCCACACCAACAGAGCUCUCGGUGCAUCUAAAGUUGCCUCGCUUUACAAAUUCAAGAACACAAAUCAUAAGAAACUGAGAUGAAAUUGAAUGUCUGAAAUACUACUAAUACAAACUAGUUUCUACCAAAAAAUGUGUAGCCAUAAAGUGUUAACUAAUCACAUGGAAUCCUUGUGCACCCACUUAUAUAAAAUUUCAAGCAGCUACUGUCAAUGACCAACUCACCAAAAAGUUUAAGCUGAUGGGUGAAGGUUCAAGAAUGGGUUUACUACAUGAUUUGCAUCCCUAAUACACCCCCAAUGCACAAGAUCCCAUAGGACUCCAAGCUUGUGCAAUGCAUGGACCCAUUUUAUUUACUUACCAUGUGUUCAAAUUCAAUUUUUAUUCAGAAGAAUGGGUGACAAGGGUCAAACUCUUAACCACUCAAUCAAGGAGGUUCAAAUACUAUCUAAGCAACCAACUCUCUUAAAAGCUUAAGCCAUUAGGUGAAGACCAAAAAUGGGUUUAUUACAUCUCUAACAUGUACAAAAUUACAAAUACAUUAUAAUUCAUCUCUUCCAAGUUUUAUAUCUGCAAACAGGAAUUUCAUAAAUGGAAGUUCAUCUUACAAAUUUGGCAUUGGCUGUGCAAGGAAAAUAAAAAUUGAAAUUGGCAUAAUUUUGUAAUAGGAGUUUCUAACCAAGUAUGCACAAGAAAAGAGUAAAGCAGUGAAUUUUUUACAUUACAAUGAAUGGAUUUCUGAAACAGUAUAAUCAAAACAUCAGUGUCAAACCUUGAAGAACUUAAGCACAAUUUUAACUAGCCUACAAGCACUGUGCAACUUAAGCAAGAGCUAGUAUUUAAAGUUAACAGUCAAGGUGAAGCAGACUACGGUCUGUUUGGAUAAACUUCUCCAAAAGCACUUCUAGGAAAAGAAAAAUGAAAUAAGCUUCUCCAUAUGCUAAUAUUGGCUCGUGCGUAAUUUAAAAACUAUCUUUCAGAGAAGCUAAUAUGAGAGAGCACAUAAGCUAGUUUUAGUUUAUGGAGAAGCUCAUUUCAUUUUUUCUUCUUAUUUUCUUCUCCUAAAACUGUUUCUGGAGAAGUUUAUCCAAUAGACCCUAGGAAUACAUUUCCUAGAAAUACCAAACAGUGCAAAUUACAAUACUUAAUCCUCUGAAACCCAGUACACAUAAGAGGAAGAAAAUCCAAAAAUCAAAUACUAGAUCCCCCCUACCCCCGGGAAUAUUUUCAAGAAAUCUGAGUAAAAAAACGUGUUAAAAGAAAUUAAUAAUAGACCAAAGCAUAGAGAUAAGAUGUUUACAAGUCUGCGCAUCAAACGCUCAAAGCACCAAAAUGCAUCUGCUUCGUCAUCAAGAAGAAUUAUCAUUGGGGAGCAUAUGUCACACAUUCCUGCUCAGAAUUGUAAAAUGAAAUCUGAAGCUUAGAUAAGUUGCAAAUGGUGGUAGCAAUUAUUUCAUUCAAGAUCACAAGAAAACAUAAGUUAAAUUAAUAUAUAAAGCAGUAGGUAAUAUAUUUAUUAUAUUCUUUUUUCCAUAAAACAAUUUACUGUUUUCUUCUCUCAUGGUUCAGAUUUCUCUACUUGUUUUCUUUCAUCAAUGAUAAUGAAUUGAGAGGUUUUAAUUUGACUGACCACUUAAAACAGUUGACUAAAUGCACGGAAAGGAAUUGCUAUGUUAUUUCAAAAACCCAAAUACUUGAACAUAGGAAGUUACCAUACAUUAAAUACCAAUUAAAUUUUCUAUGAAUGUUGGCCUUUCAUUUAGGGUCAGGUUUGUUGAGGUGAACAUUAGUGUCAACAGCUAGUCUAGUCAAUAUAUCAUAGAAUAGUGCAAGCUAGUUGAAUGGAAUUACCACAUGCGUUUCCCAGGAUUUAAUACAAAUAUCUAAAUACAGUGCAGGUGUAUGUCCAAAAGAUGCCAAAUAUGUAUGACCCACCUUGACCAUAGCCAACGUCCUUAUCUAUCCAAGCAUAAACAGCAAGAAUAUCCCAUAGUUUCGACAAGUUUUCUUGCUUCUCAUAAAAAACUAAUGUCCUAUCAGUGCGAACCACAUCAAGACCUGAAAUGUAUUAUGUGCAUGAAAAGUGUCAUUUGCCAUGUUAAUUAUAUAACGGCGAUAGGAUCUUAUAUUACACGAGAAAAAUUUCACAAAAUAAUAGAGUCUGCAUUCUAACCAUAUGCCAUGCAAAUCAAAUUGAGUUUGUACAGCAAAGCAUUUCAGGCAUAAUGGAUAUAUGAAGAAAAUAAUUGUGAAGCAGGGUUCUGCCUAAAACUUGGACAAUACAUAAAAAAAUAGAUAGCAUAUAAUGGCCAAAAUAUAAUAUACAGCACAUUGAGAACAAAUUAUUCACAAACCUAUUUGAUGCAGAGUUAACAUCCACUGGACUACUGCCUUGUCUGUCACCUUUUCUAAAUUAUUUGCAGCAUCCAUACUUGAAGGACUAUUAUUAUGUUGUGGAUGUACAGCCAAUCCCUUGGCCGGACUUGUUUCUUUCAAAACCAAUGGAUCUUGAAUAGGCUGACCAUCUUCAGUAAUGACAGGUGCUGUGACAAAUCUACCACUUCCAACAAGAGGAAACAAUUGGCGGCAUUCUUCUUUCCAUGUAGCAUAUUGCAUUCUGAUGGGGGAAAAAAAGUGAUAUUCAAGUAAGGAUCUAUUAGAUUUGGAAUUCAGAAACUGAAGUUUUAUAUUACAAAAAGUAUUGGUAUUAUCCCUGUAUAAAGGAUGGAAGCAAUUCUUGUCAUAUUUUUUAAGGCUUAUCAAGCCUGUGUUGACAUAUUAUACUAAUUGCAUUUUUAUUUAAAAAGAAGACCUAGGUAACAGAGAAAUGAAAACCAAAAAUAUCUUUAGGAUGCUGUGAUGAUAAUAAGGGUGAAAAAGAGGAUUCUUAUAAAAAAGAAAUCAUUUAAAGAGAAAACCAAUAACCUUCGGCGUUGUCUUAUCUGAUAUCUUUCCUCAAAUGUACUCUUGGGAUCAUAGCAACCAAGUAGAAAUUCCCAAACUUCUCCCUUAAUUGAUGGAUGGACUCCCUGGUUUGAAAAUUUUAAUAAAGAACCCAUCAACCAAAAGCUACAUAUAAAAACACUUGUCUAUUUGCACUUGUGCACAUAACAAACAAAUAUCUUCAAUAAUUUUAGGGCCAUGCCACUUACCAAUAAUAUGAUCAGCAUAGGUCAUGCAUUACUCAAGAUCAUGAAGAAAAAAAAAUUAAAUAUGCAGAAACAAAUUAAUAGGAGAACUUUCCAUGAAUAUCUUCACAUAUUUUUGUAGAUUGAUAUGUAUGCAUAUGUAUAAAUGCACAAAAUUCAUCUGAAAACAAAGUGUAAUACAUCAAUUUAGUCCCUAAUAUUAUAAGCACUGGUCAAUUUCCUUCUUAAAAUUUGAAAAUGUCAUUUUAGUCCCUAAAAUUGCCAAACAAUGGUUAUUUUAGUCCUUAAAGUUAUUAAACCAUGGUCAUUUUAGUCCUUAAAAUUCUAACAAUAAGGACUAAAAUCAUUUUGUUUGAUAAUGUUGGGAACUAAAUUGACUGAUACACGAAAUUUCAAGGACUAAUUUGUGUAUUACUUGAAAAACAAAAGACAUCACUCUCAAAUAAUAUUUGCUACCAUAGACUUGUGAAAUCUAGAUCUAAAUUUAACAACAAUUUCAUUUUCUUUCUUAUCUUUCAUAGAUAAAAAAAAAAGGAGUAUUCUGUAUUAGUUUCCUUACUAUAAUACUACCUAUGGUCCUAUUUAUAAGAAACAAGUUGUAGUGUAUAAAUAGGACCAGAGGUAGUAAUAAAGUACAAUAUUUUCCUACAUUACAUUCAAUUGUUACCUUAGAAUGGUAAUGUAAAGCCUAUGUCAAGUCUUAGAAGAGGUUUAAGUAAGAAACAACAGCAAAACAAACAUUUUUUUUUUAAGAAAAAAAUAACUCCUAAAAAACAGGAGCAAGUCCGAACAGGAAACUUUCCAAUCAAAAGCCUGCUAAAAAGAGGAAGAUGUUUCACAAGAAUGCAUAUGAAAAUAUGUUGAAAAAAGAAUUUCAAUCUUAUCUCAUUCAACAAUAACUUGAAAUUUGCAACUGGCAGAACUAGGCCGGUUUAAUUAAUUUCUAAUACUUGUUGUCUGUACAUUCUUCAAUCUCAGCCAUGGUAAUGGAAUCUCAUGCACUAAAGAGAACCAAAUUAGACCCAUUAAAAAAGUCCAGUCCAUUCCAAGGAUCAGUUCAACCAUACAAACAGAUACCCUUAUGUUUUUCAAGCAAGCAAGAGUUCCCUGUUGCACUGACUACACCAUAAUGGAAAGUAGUAGAGACUAAAUUCCAUAUUCUCAAACAUAUUGAACCAACAUUUUAACUAUAAAAAACAAUUACCCCGCGGUAGAUUCGGCUUAGAGUCUUGCCUAUAUCUAGAUACCCUUCUGGAGUAAAUGCAGCAUGCCAUUUUCUUGCACUUAGUGUUUUGCCAGCCUGGACCAUAUAACAAGAAGUUAAAGUAAAUGAACAUUAUAUAAGUGUUACUAGAUUAAAAAUUCAACUAAAUGUGAAAGUUCUCAGCUGAAGGCGUACAAUUUUCUUUCUUUCAUUUUUUAUCAAAAAACCACAACCAAAAAUAAUCACAAAAAAGACAAAAGCUAUCAUAAAUUACAAAGUGUAUUUUAUCCAUACUCAGAUUUAGAACUCUUAUAAGUUACUUAUGUAACUGAGCAAUCAAGCACUUAAUAAGCAGUCCAUAUGCUGCGUUAUUUAUAACAGAAAAAAAAAAAAACAAAAAUGGAAAUCUUAAUAUAAUGAGUGUUUCACUGAACUACUUGAUUAUAUAACUCAUUAAGUGCUUCUAAUUCAUGCAACUAAUAUCAGGAUUAUAUCCACACAACUAGAGACAAUCAUAUAUAAUCAAUAACGUUUACAUUCAAUUUCACAUUUAUGAUAUGUAAUUUCUGUACAAUAAGUUGCCGUAAGUGAAUCAAGUUUCCUUCAUUAAAAUUGAUACUUGACAUCACUGAAUUUGAAAUACAUAACAAGCAAAAGAUACCAACAUCAAAGCCAUUGUUGAGAACUUAGUAAAGGUCAACAAUCCAUCAUUACCCUCAUGUAUGAUUUUCAAUUAUCUAAAAUCAUCAGCUAUCCCCCAAAUGAACAAUUCCAGUUUAUUCACUUAGCAAGCUCAAUAUAGCUUAGAAAGAAAGAACAGCCAUGUGUGUGUAUCUUAAAUCACAAAAAGCAUUCACAAAACCUCAAAUUCACAUGCAUUGCUCAUAAAAGACCAACACCAAUUUCCAUCAACCUUCCUAUUCACCAAUGAACAAAGACACACAUAUUAAAAAUAGGGAAAAAUAUAUUAAACCCAAAAAAGGGAAGAAUUUUUUUUUACCUUGAUCUUAAAUCGAGUAACGGGAACAUCGGUGCAUUCGGGGCGGAUUUCAUAGAAAGAAUCAGCUGAAACUCCCGGAUCUCUCCACAUCUCAAUCAACCAAACAAAAGGGAAACAGAAUCAACUAAAAAGCAAUGAUUUUUGGUGUGAGCAAUCCUUAGCAGAACGCAGGAGCUGGACCCUUUGGGAAGAUCAAGCAAACCCAGAAACAAAAACUUGUCAAGUGAAGAAUUCAAGGAUCCAGCUCCAAAAGCUACACAGAACCAAAAAAAUAACGGUUAUUUAUUUAUUUUUUUGGAUUUUAUUGUAUUAAAUUAAUAGUUAGAAUGUUAUGACAUUGUGGGUUGGUAGUGGAGAUGAUGGUGUGAGAGGAACAUGAAGAGGAAGGUAACAAUACCCAGUCAAAAGGCUGGAAUAGGAAUUUAGGAACAGAAAAAGAUUCUUAAAUUUUCAUUACCCUUUACCACACUCCCCGUUUAAUGCGUAAUAAUAAAUUUACACGAGAUAAUGUUUCGUUUAUUUUAUUUUAUUUUUUUACUUUCUUUUACUGUUAAUUUUUGUUUUUGAUUUUGUUCUUUUGUAUGUUCUUGUCUGACAAACUUUAUACAACUUAUAUUCCCAUAUAUGGUUGGAAAAAAAAACUAAAAGAGGAAAUAAUUAAAAUAUUAAAAAAAUCAUAUUGUCAUUUAAUACUAAAUUAUCCUAUAUGAUAAGCUUGACAUAAUGUAAUCGUUUUUUACUAACAGAGAUAAAAUUACACUAAAAAUAAAAUAUAUUUAUUAAUGUAUACUUAUUUGUUUUUGAAAAAGAGUAUUUUAGCUUAUUAUAACUUUAAUUUUUUUAAAUAUACCAUAUAAAACAUGUGUGUAUAUAUUAAUAUACUCUAUAAAUAUUUGCUGAUUUAUUUUUUAAAAGAAAAUUUUAAAAAGUUAUAAUUUCAUUUUUUUAAAUACAUUCAAAAUGUAAAUUGUUCAAAUUUUCCUUCUUUUAUAAAACGAGUACAUGUGCAUUAGCUAAUCUCAAUAAAAAAAUAAUAUUUCUUUAUUUAAUAAAUAAGAAAGACUAAUAAGAGAAUACCAAAGCAAAAAUUAGAUUUUUUUUCAGUUGGAAUUUGUUAUUCGAAAUGAGAAUCUCCUACCAAAAGAUACACUUUUUGGUUACUUUAAUGUUAUGUAACUUUGCAACUUGAAAUUGGUAUUUUUUAGGAAGCUUUUUUCAUUUUUAAUAAAUAUUCAAUUUUUAUAUGUAUUUUUUAAUAAAUUUUAAUGUUGUGUUAAAUCUUUAAUCAAAUAAUAAUUUUAUUUUUUAUUCUUAAUAUGAUAAAUGAGUAGAUUUUAUGUAUGUUUACCAAUAAUUUUUUUUCUACUUGUUUUUAGUUGGAAUAUGUAAAAAACAAACACAAAAUCCAUUAUGAAAGACUAAACACAAGAUGGUCAAACAUGGAAAAAUGACCAAGCAAGAAGAAAGUUGGUGUAGAACCGUGAGACUUGGUCUUGAGCACAGUCUGCUGACCAAGUUUAACGCGGAAACAGAAAGAAAAGUCAACGACAAAUAAGCAUAUGGCAUGCAGUUCACGGGUUCAGGUCAUAAAUUUGAACUUUAUGGGAUGAUUUUUUCCUUGUUAAAUAAUAAGGUAGUUUAGAUAUGAGAUAUCCUACUCAGAACAAAAUCAACAAAUGCUUUUCUCUGAAAUGAAAUUAGUCGCACACUCCAACAACUGGCAAAAGUUUCAUAAUUUAUAUCUUUAAAAGAAACUAAAAAGUAUGAAAAUUGAAAAGCUACUUCAGUAUAUGUAUGAUUAUAGUUAGGCAACAAACAGAUUUAUUUGUCUCCAUUUUUACUGAGUGAUCAUGACUCUAGAUAGAUCCAUCCAUGAAGCGAAAAAUAGCUAAGACAAAGAUAAAAUUUAUUCUCAUUUAACAAGCAGAGAUACUUCCAUGAGUCACAUCUUGCUAUUUUACCUUGUAAAGUUGAAGGGCAGGGGUAACUUUAGAUUUUGACUUGCCUAUCUUUACAUGUUGAAUUAGAGAUUGUUAUUUAAAAGGUUACUUUUUUUUUUCAAAUGGCACAUUUUUUUAGUUAUCUUUUUAUUUAGUUGAAAAAUAUUAAAUUAAUUAUGUAUAUUUUAAAAUAUUUUUUCAAUUUAUUUAAUACAUAUUUCCAAAUGGUUUUUAUUUUGUGCAUGAAAAUGACUUUACUUUAAAAUAUCUAAUUUAUUUAAAAAAUAAACUUGAUCAAGCAUUCAACUAAUGGAGUUUAAAUAAUUCACAAAUAACUUACUUCAUUUACACUCUACUUGUCAAUCUCUACAACUUUGGCUAAGCAUUGAAAUAACAUUAAAUUAGAUAAAAUUAUUAUUAUUAUUAAUAUAAGUUGAAUGCAUUUAUAAUAUAUUGAAAUAAUCAUUGAAAUAUAAAUAUAAAUAAACUUUUAGUAUUUUUUAUCAUGUUUUAUUGAAACUAUAUUUAUUGAUUUUGUCAAUUGAUUAAGACUCAUUAUUAGAUAAUAUAUUGAAAUAAUCAUUGAAAUAUAAAUAUAAAUAAACUUUUAGUAUUUUUUAUCAUGUUUUAUUGAAACUAUAUUUAUUGAUUUUGUCAAUUGAUUAAGACUCAUUAUUAGAUAACCUAACUUGCUAUCAUUAGUAAAAUCUCACAUCACGAACAAGUUUUCUUUUUUUAUCUACAAAAUUUAGCACAAUAAUAUAUUUUUUAUUUGCAAAAUUCAAACCCAGGAUAUUGGGUAAAAUAAACAAUCUGAAUCCAUUCCACCUGGGUUAACAUUAUGUUGAUAGUAAACCCUCAAUUUAGUAACUUAAUGCAUCUCACCAACUUAGUUUUCUAAAUACUUUACUCACACUACUAUUUCCAUAAAAGAUUUAAAGCAUCAUAUUAAUUUUCUAAAGAUUUUGUCACUUUAUUGGUCCCUUAAAAGAAGAGUUGGUUUGAGGCUUAAAUUAGUAGUCAAGUUCAGGUUAAGUUUGGCAACGAUGGUGUAAUGUAGAAGCAGAUGAUUGUCAUUUAGGUGACUCAUGAUAGAAGAUUUUGAUGAUUCAGGUGUGGAAGAAAAAGUGGUUCUCCUAAGAACAAAGGUAGUAAGGCCGUGGACGUGAAAGGUGAAACCACAUACCAACAAAUGACAAGUUAUUGACAAAACUAAUAAAAGGGGCUGAUCUGUUAGACGUUUAAAAGUUAUAAGAUCAAAACUAGAAGAAAAAAAAUGGAGGACUAAAUUAAAUUAAUGAAUAAUGUUAGAUACCCAAAGUAUUAAUUUUGCUAAAAAAAAUGUAAUAUAUUUUGACAUUUUUUUUUGCACAAAGUAUUAAUUUUGACAUUGAAAUAAGAUGAUCUCAGCUUUUCUUGAAUUUGUAUGUGCAAAAGAAAUAAGAUGCCUAUAAGCAAAGUAUAAACCGACGCACGUUCAUGUGUAAAAGAUUCAAAGAAAUUACUCUUAACAAGGAAAGAGAACUUAUGCUUUGCUCCAGAAUCAAAGUAACCCAAAGAGAGGAGCGAAUGUGAAAAAGUUUCAAAAGCUUCUCUGCCACAGUUCGUAAAGUUUCCAUGCAUCUGGUGCCUACAAAAACCCAUGAUGGUCUAGUUUAAUGCAUCACUGUAUCUUCAACAUUUCCAGCAUUUGGUUGCAAUACCCUCUUGUCCUUUCUUAGUUCCUCAUUGAUAUUCCUCUCCAAUGGCUACCAUCAUGUUAAGGUCUAAUGAAGUAGUCCAUGCCUUGGGCUUGUUCUGUAUCUUGCUGAUGGUGCAUAAGGGUGAUGCCUAUGAAUUUGUAGUUGGAGGCCAAAAAGGGUUGGGGUGUCCCAAGUGACCCCAAUUCCAACCCUUACGAUCAAGGGCACAAAAGAGCCGAUUUCAAGUAGGAGACUCUCUAGGUAAGUUCUUAUUUGAUCCCAAGUUACCAACCGUAUGAAUGUCUCCAUUGGUUUUAACUUUUGUCAUAGGCAAGGGUAAAAAGUGGGACCCUUUUAACUAGUUCUAAACUAAUUAAAUGACAUUUUUUAGAGAGAUUUAUGGAAUUAAUUAUUUUGUUACAACAUAUAUAGUUUUUGCGUGUACCAUUGAUUUGAUACUGACAAUAUAAAAGUUUUACUGUCAUUUAAUAAUAAAUAGUAUUUGAUACUGACAAUAUAAAAGUUUUACUGUCAUUAUUAGAGAACGUGUUAGUUGAUUCCCUUUAUGAGUAUUAAUCCAUUGGUGUCUUAGGCUCUUUCUUGAGACAAUUCAGAAAAAAAAAAAAGAAAAAAAAAAACUAACUCAAUAGAAAGUAUUUCUUUCUCAUUCUCUCUCUUUUAUGGAUAAAAAAACAUCUUUAUAGCUUUACCUAGUCGGAAGUUUAAGAAAUUUUGGACCAUAGUGCUACACUAAUCCAAAGGAUCGAAACAUUGGGUUGUACCUAACACUUGCCAACACUAGAAUGUUAAAACUUUGCCCCAAGUAAAAUGACACAAUCAAUCAUUUUGAAUUAAAAAAAUUUCCAGUUCUUCAUUAGAAAGGUGGAGUUACAUUUCAAUUUACACUUUUGCCAAUUGCAGUGUUCAAUUACCCUUCUGGUCAAGACUCAGUGAUUCAAGUCAGGAGCCAAGACUAUGCCAGUUGCAACACUGAUGGAUAGUAAAAAAUUCUCUGGUGGCCACACAGUCAUCAAGCUCAACCAAUCAGGGCCUCACAACUUCAUCAGUGGAAACAAAAACAGCUGUCUCAAAAACGAGAAGCUUGUGGUGAUUGUGCUGGCAGACAGGAACAACAAAAACACAAACCAAACAAGCCCUCCCUCUCCUUCGUCUCCUGCUCCUUCUCCUUCCCUUUUGACACAGUCAUUAGCUCCAUUACCAGCACCUUCUCAGCAACAGGUUCCACCUCCACCAUCUCCAGUGGCAGCACCUCCUCAGCAAGAGGCUCCUUCUCCAGCAACAAGUAACCCCACUCCAGCUCCUGUUAGUGAUCAACCUUCUCCUCCUCAUAAUGAUGCUUCUUCAAUCUUGUUCAACUUUGCUGGUUCUGUUGGAGCAUUCAUUGCUUCAGUUCUGGUUUUUUCUUUGAGUGGAGUGUAUGAUAUAUGAGUGGUUCAGUAUAUUUCUUUUUUCCACAAUUUCUUUUUUUAUGGAAUCCUAUACUUUGAGUUCAGUAUUAUUGAACUGGCCGUUUGGUCCAAAGUUGGUAUGCUAGCUAUUUGAUAUUUGCUUGUGAAAACUGAGAAAUAAGCUGACAAUAUAUGCACCCUUUUGUGUGCUUCUUACUUGAUGAUUGUAAUUUGUAAGAAUAUAUUCCAUACGUUGAACUUGAAAUAAAUAAAACCAUUUUUAAUUGUAAUAGAGUCAGUAAAUAUGGCAGAUUAAGGUACUUAAUUUUGCUCAAUUGCUCCCUACGUACUGAAGCAUAUGCUGCCGAGCGUGAAUUGUGAUGUCAUGUUCGCUACCUAUUCAUUCUCCACCUGAGGUGCUCUCCCCUCACCUCUUAUGCAAGUAACCAAGUUUAUAUAAUAUAUUAAUGGAGUCAAAAGCAAGAGAAAAAAAAAAUCAUUAAUCAUCCUAUAUCACAGCAGCAUUUUUUAUCAACCAUAACCAAGUGCAAAAAAUUAGUGGAGGCAAAAACAGGAUGCAUUUAUGGAGUUCCCAAUCCAUGUAAUGAUCAUUUUGCUGAAUCAAAAACUAAAAAAAAAAAUAUUUUUAUACUUUAUGGUGGAUCUAUUGAUAACAAUCUGCCAAAAGGCCUCCUCGCUAAAUUGGAUCUAGCGAAAUCAAAAAAGUCCUAUGCUAUAAUAAAUUGUCAACUACUUAUCAAAAAUUUUUGCCAAGCUCAACUUUUUUCAUUAGUCUUAUAGUGUUGUGCAAAAUCGCGUCCAUAAUUCCAGCAACCUGAAACCACAGAGAUGAGUCGUCAACCAUACAAAUAGAGGAGACUACAAGCACUGAACCACAAUAUCUGAGAUACAAACCGUGAAAAUGCCUCCAACAAUAGCACAGACAUUUGUGAUAAAGUGAGAAAAGGACUUCUGGUUUUCCGUUAUUAAGACCUGAUCAUAAAAAUAAACAUGUAAACCAACCAAAUGUUAAAAAGGAAAAGCAGAAACUUAUUCAAAUCUAUAAUCUCCAUAAGCAGACCUGCAUGGGGGAGAGCUCAAGAUGGAACUUAGCAACAGGAAUGUGUAAACUCUGUGCCACACUGCUGUGCGCUGUGUACUCAUACUCCUCAACUAAUUUAUAAUCCUUUCUAGUUAUCACCUCUGUUUUAACUAUCUGAAGGUAAUGCUCCAUCUGCAGCCACAUAUAUCAGAUAAAUGUGUAAAUAAAUCUCCAAGCAUCAGAGAUGCUUGUCUUUCUGUAGUUAUCGCCCCCACCUCCAUGUUGAAUAAUUUAUUAUGUUGAAGGAGCUUCUAAAUGGUUUUAUCGCCUCCACCUCCAUGUUGGUUUCUUUUCAUUUGUUAUACUUUUGGAUGCUUCAAACAGAGAUUACAGAUGCAUACAAGAUAAUAACCCAAACAUAAUUAGGUUCAACAAGUUCGCACAUUUUAAAUGGUAAAAGUAACAACGAGUUUUAUUGAUUUCUGUAUUUUUAUUGUAGAGGUCUAGAAGCAUUCUGUAAUGUGUCAAAAUUAUUUUCCAGAUUAUGAGUGAAGGAGCAGUGGGAAGGCCCCACUUUAUCCUACAAUGGUGCUGGAAUGUGGUUUAUAGAGGACAAAAAGGUAUUAUAGUCUCAAAAAUGAAUAGAACUUCAUCAGGCCCGGGGCAUUCUUGCUAUCUAUUACAUCUUACUAUGGCAUAUGCAGGUCAAUAUAAUUUGUCCAUUAAUAAUUAAACAUGCUGAGCCAACCAUAAAAAGUCACAUUCUCAUAAAAAAAAGUUACUAAGCUAGAGGUUUUUAUAUUAACUUACAGUAACAUUUGCUCCUAAAUCAUGUGUAUUGAUAAAUGAUCGACCAUUCAGCCUGUCAUGGCUGCUACCAACGUAAGGUAUCAAGCGCUUCACAUCACUCAUGACCCUAGGUGAUACUUUCCUUCCAAAAGAUAAAUGGUUUAUGACAUGUGACAUGUUCAUUUGAGAAGCAUCAAAGGAAUGAGCAUUGGAUCUAGCUGAGAAGAUCAAGUUUCCAGGAACCUGCAGAGAGCAAAAUAGCUUAUAUUUCAGCAUAAUUUUUUUUUUAAAAAAAAAGAAAGAAUAUGAGGUCAUAUCCCCUAUUCAAUUUAUUUCUUUUAUUUUAACAUUAACAACUAAAGCUUCUAUUAAAAGCAAAAGAAAAUUUAAAAACAAGGUAGGAACCAAAUGUAUCAAUUAUUUCCAGAGCAACUUGAAUCUUAGUUCAUCCUCACUGAAAACAAGAAAGCACUGGAGUUUUUCUACAUUAAAGUAGAAGGUUAAUUUUACCCAGACAGGAGUAUACCUUCUUGACACGCACAUAUCCGUCAAUUCUACACCCUCCUGUUGAUGGUGCUGGUCUUUCUGUAUUUUUCGCAACAUCGGAUUUAUCCUCCAAAGGUAACUUCUGAGAUUCUGAAGGGAGAGAUGCAACUAAAUUCUCCAUUGUCUGCAGGGGGGAUACUUCAUAUCAGGCAUGUUUCACUCUAAUGGUAAAAAAGUGAUGUUCAAUUACAUUUAAAAGCAUUGAGUAGACCCUUUUAAGUUAAACUUGAUUCAAAUAAUGAUAAUUUAAACUAAAUAUAUGUGUACCUUGACUAGGCUAUCUGUGUCACGAUCUCCAUAAUAGGACUCAUGAUCAUGAUGUCCAUGGUUACUUCUGAAAUAGGAAAAAGAUGACUAGAUAUGACCAGAAAUCCAAAACUUUAAAAACCCAAUCACAGACCAAAGAGGUUCAAUAUUCUGGAUGUACAUAAACAAUAGCUAUCUAGAUGUUAUCAUGCAGAUUUCGUUGAAUUGACAUUACCACAGAUAGAAUGAUUUACUGCUGCGAUGUUCAAGGAGGAAAAAUAACGGUAGCAGCUACAAGUUAUCUUUCAUUACUACUACAUAGGACAUCUCACAUCAAAAAUUCCCAUAUGAUCUUCCUUUCAAAAUUAAGCUCAUGUACCUAUUCCAAUACUAGCAUCCUUACAUCCUCCCAUUCUUCUGUCAUUACUAUUGACCUUUGAACAUUAUUCCCAUUCUAGAAAAGAUUUGAGGACCAUUACCAUAAUUUUUAGAAGGAACAAAACCUAUAUAGCCUUCCCAUGGAAAAAUGUAAUGUAAUUAAGCAAAUAAACAAGCAUAUAAUACCUCAAAAAUGGAAAGCAGACGAAAGCUAUUCUGAAAGAAAAAAAGUCAAUAAAGAUCUUGUAUUAUUACCUAACAUCACUUCCUUUACGAAAGAUACGAAUUGAAGGAUACCCUUGUAUGUGAUGGCUGGAUAUUGAGAUGAAUAGCAAAAAAACCCAGGAAAAAAGUAGCAAAGUUAGCAAAAAUGACAAAAGGAAAUAUCAAAUUACAAUGAAGAACAUGUACUUUCAAUUAAGAUAAUUUAAUAAGUAUGGUUAAAGCUCAUCACCAUCUUCAUAUUAAGUUAUGCAUAUAUCUAUAAACCUAUAUCAUAAGAUUUGUUUGUAAUAAUCCAUGAUUUUGACAUGAUUCUAACCUCCUGGAUGUAACUCCUGUAUGCAAUGACAGAAUACAUUACAAAAGAAUGAAUAUCUUUGUUAGAAUAUAUGAAAAUAUCCAUUGUUAUCCUGAAUCCUGAUCAUAUCUUAGAUUAUCCUUUAUCUGGUUUCCUAUUUAGUAGGAUUAUGAUUAGUAUAAAUAAGGGUUAGUGCUCUAGGUUUCAUGAUCAUAUAAACACAUGCAACACAUCCAAAUAGUUAAGAGAUUAUUAUCCAGUCUCUUUUCUCUCAAUCUCCUCUCUCUAUAUGUGGUUGGUAGAUACAAAAUGUAUCUCAUUUCAAUUCAAUGUUUAAUAUUUAAUACAUUUCAAAUACUCCCAUUGUUUUCUUUUUUCAUCCAUUUUGAAAAAUCUACUCUCUUGCUUUAAUUGCCUCUAAGUAUUAACUAAUAAGUGAUGUGUGAGACCAAUUGAUUAAAGCACAUUUUAUUAAUGGUAAAAAUGAAAAUCAAGUCCUUUUUCUAAUCCCUAUUCCCUACACAUCAUUUUGUUGCACUUUGUCCACAUUCACAAAACUCAAACUCUAGGAGAACAAAAUGCUGGGUGACAAGGAACUUAUCCCCUGUUUCUUUCCAAUUUUUUUUCCACCAAAAAGUUUAACUCUAGUAAUUUUUUUUCACCAAUCCAUCAGCAUGAUUGUGUUUAUAACUAUCUUAUCUCUGUACUUUCAUCCAAGGUAAAAACUUUCAAGAUAGUCCAUAUAUGACUCAGUAAAAUUGUAAAGGAUAGAAAAACUUAAAUUGUCUAUAAAUAAAUACAACAGAAAGUUAUUCACCCAAAAAAAACAAUACAACAGAAAGAUCAAGGAGAUAACUAAAUCAGCUACAAGUAAGAAACUGAAUUCUUAAAAAAGGGGAACCUCCGGCACAAGUCUCCAUCUUCAGUGCAAUCUACCCUCCCCAAAAUAAUACGACCAUCCAUUUCCGGAUCAUAUCUACAUAAAAAUGCAAUUGUACAAAUAAGACAUCAAAUUAGUAUAGUGAUGCUAAGAUAAUUACCAAUUAAACAAAGGAGAUGACACGGUAAACUUUCUAAAGUGCAAUUUCUAGGAAUGAGACAAGCACAGUAAAAAUUAAAGUACCUCUCUUUAAUAAUUUUAGCUGCCUUCUCCCAUGAUGGUUUCUGAAAGGAAAGAGAUGGAAGUGUCACAUAAAAACCUUCAAACAUUAAGCAGAAGACCUUCUACAUGAUUUCUUUAACCAGGAUUAAGUAAUUCAUCAAUCAUCUUAUAUGGCAGAUGAUUUGCACUAUGUAGCACUUACACACUUUGAUUGCCAAAUCAUUUCAAAGCUUUUGCAUCAUGAAGUGGGAUUAGUCACUAUUAAAGUGUAUUUGUUGAUGAGGUUGCAUUGAACUAAGCAUUCAAAUUAGCCUUUACCCCUACUGAAUUGUUUCUGCCUAAGGGAACGCUUGUUUCUUAAGGAAUAUAAAUUUAUUGAUAAUAGACAACAAUAAAGACAUCAGGAACACCUUAUUUGUUGAAGUGAUGAGAAAACAAGAAAUGAAGAUAAAAUAAUUACCAAGCGUUGACUCCAGUAACACCAAGGAGCAUAAAAAUUAACAACUGUAAUUGGAAACCUGCAAAAAGGUUAUCCAAAAUGGGUUAAUGAUACAAAAAUAUUGUGCAGUCUGAGACAGAAAAGAAAAAAAACUAUUCAACUCUCAAAUAACUGAAACUCAAAAAAACAACAAAUGAAUGAAUUACAUGAUUAACCCACUUACUGAUGAGCAUAUUUAUCAAAAUUUUGUGUUUUGAGUACAACAGAACCUUCAACAGAUUCUUCAUUUACUUCAUUAUCAUGCUUAAUGCUGUUAGCAGCUGGUUCUGAAUGGAAUUCAGCACCAGUAGGUCUUAAAUUUGAAUCAAUAGAAAACUUGCGAACUGUUUUUGUUAGAUUCAGCCUGUUCUGAAAACAAGAGGUCACAAAUUAAGGACAAGGAUGAAAUAUCAACAAACCAAAGAUAAAAAUGUAUUAUAGCACAGGAAAUAAUAAGGUUCAUAAAAAGAUGGAUUUCAUUUAGAACAUAAAGAAUAGUGCCAAAAGAAGCACUAAAUCUAUGUCAAGUACUUUUUAUGUUUCAGUGCCCUGGCUUCACACUUAACGGGCAAAUAUGGCAUAUAAAAUUUUGAAAGUCUAACAAUGAAUAAAUAUUCUGAAGGUUAAAGGUAUCUUUAUAAAAUAAAAAUGGAAUUUCUAGAAGAACCAAUAAAAAACAUUUUCUAGUGGUUAAUUACAGGUUGUUUAGGCCUGGGUUCACAAAAUUAUAAAAAGCGCCUUCAAUGAAUAGUAUCCUCAUUUUUAGCUAAUACUUGGUUACUCAAUUGUAAUGAAUAUUUUCAUUGAUACAUUGGUAUUAGAGCUAACAAACUAACAUUUUAUGACCUUAUUACAUUAACCAAAUGGAAAUAAUAAAUAAAAGGAGAUAUUAAUGGUUUUUGCUCUGUCUUAAAGAUAGUUUAACUACACUAUGGUCAACUUGGAAUAUGACACAUUUAACUUAUUAAAAACUAAAGUAAAAUUUCUUAAACCAGAAGCAUAAAUCAUUUUUGCAAGAGAUGAUCAAAUGGAAUAAUAGAAACUUACUGUGCCCAGCACAUCACUCACAUCAACUGCUGCAAACUCACAGGAGAGGGCAGGAAAACUACAAUAUAAAUUGGAGCCAUCAGCAGGAAACAAUUAAUAAAGAAAAGGAGAGUUCAUAAGUAGCCAUUAUAUUAAAUUGAACAAGGAAUAUAAACUCUGAGAAAAAUCACGAGACAUAACAAACAAAAUUAUCACCAUGGAUUUCAUGUCAAUUUCACAGACCAUCACAAUGUAUCAAACAUAUAUAUAUAUAUAUAUAUAUAUAUAUAUAUAUAAAAUUCCAGUUUGAAAAGGAGCUCGAAAGGAAGAAAUAAGUGCACUAUAUGAACAUCAUUGAUCCAGAAAUUGAAAAGUUUUAACCUCUUCCUUGAAGGAAAUAAUUUCUGUCCAAUAAGAAGUCAAAUUACAAACCAUUUUCUUCAACAAAUUAACCAAUAUUUUGAUGAACAAGUUAUCAAACCCCUAAGAAUUAGAUUCUCUAAUGGAGAGUUGCACAUUCUUGAUAACAAGUGAUGGUAUACAAAUAUUAUGCAACCCAAGUUCUAUGCUGUAUACCAAGCCCAGGUGGAGAAAACCAUGCAGCUACCAAUAUUUUGCAUAUUCAAAGAUAUCAAAUGCCUAUUUAGCCUUCUACCUGAUAUUAAAAUCUAUACGUAAAUAGUCCCCAUCAGAACUCUUGUCAACAAUCACUUGUGUAGAGGUGGUGACAGACAGAUAACUAUUAAGCUCCUGCAACACAGUUGCAUGAUAUAAGUCAAUAUGAAUUUUGAUAACCAAAUCUAAGAUAAAAUUUGUCAAAACCAAAUUGAGGCAUGAGACCUAAUAUCAAUCCAGAACACAUGCAUGAAGGCUUCACAUGCCAUAAACAUAAAUAUUAGUGGUAAAAGCUACAGACCAUUCCAAAUAAAAAUAUCAUGGCGAGAGCUGCUACUAUGGAUAGCCCUGCUCCGGAUAAUGAUGCCUCAGUUAAAUCUCUAGGGAUUUUUCUGUAGACAGAAGAAACAGGUAAACACAUAUCUAUUUGCAAAGGGAUAACGUCACAUGCAUUCACAAAUCCACUCCUAUAUAUUUUGAGUCCUUAAACUUGAGUGAUUUAAUUCCUUAUUCGACUCUCCCUCAGAAUAACAUAUGCCAUUCUUGCCUGUUUGGUUUCAGAAAACAUUUUGCUUUCAUUUCUUGUUUUAAGUUUUCAUAAAUAGUUUUUUUUGGAAGGCAAGUUUUCAUAAAUAGUUACAAAAAUAUCAUUUUGUUUUCACUUUAUUUCUUGUUGCCAAAGAUUUACAUAAAAAAGUUAUUAUUAAGAGGUGCGUUUUUUGCCAUCAUUUUUUGCAUAUAGACACUGAUUAAAUAGUAAAUACCGCAUCAUUGCUCUCUUAUGCUGCACAUUUCUCUCAAAUCAUUCUCCACAGAACAUAAAAAUAAAUGCAAAACCAUUUAAUCCAAUCGCAAGGUUUUAAAAGACAGCCCACGAUAGUGUUUUCAGCUGCAACUUCAAGGUCUCUGGACUCUGGAGUGUCCGACCGUAAUACGGCCGCAAUUGUGGCCACAUUGGCCGCAGUUAUUUGCAAUUUUCCACAAUAUCAAGGAAUGCGACGAAACCGCGACUGCGACCAUUUUUUAAAAUCUCGAUUAAAUGCAUAAUAGCAUCAAAGCGAAAUGAAUUACAGACCAAGACACACAGUCGCAGGCUACGAAAGCCUCAUAUAUAGGAACGACUGUUCAAAUAACAGAGACGGUAAUUAUUAUCUGAAGCAAUCGGUAAAAAAAAAAUUGUGAUCAAAUUGACGGAAGCACCGGCAUUGCAACUGAAGAUUCGCACGCAAACAUACAAUUCGCUGCAUUGGCAUUGAUAGAUAGAACAAAGCUGAUCCAAAAAGCGUGAAAUGCACGAAUUUGGAAGGGGGAAAAACAUAGAAACGCGUGAUGAGAGGGAGAUACUAACCUGUAAAAAUCGACGGAUUUGAUUUUGCUUGAGGAAAUCAUGGUUGCAAGAAAGUGGAAUGAAUUUCACGUGAAAAAUGGAAAAGGAAAGGAGAAUUUUGAGAAAGCUCAAAGCCCAAAGGGGUUGAGAUUUGAGAAUUGAGAGUGUAAUGAUGGUAAUAGAUCGAAGGAGGAGAAGGAGAAGG